GGCCCGGGUGCCCUCCAAAUUAGCCACAAAGAAGCCAGUCUGUCAAUAUUAAUUCCGCCGCGGAGAUUACUUGUUGUGGGAGAACAAAGGUGUUCUGGCUUGAGCUGAACAACUUAACUCCUUGUCUCAUAAAAUUUAAGCUGCUAUUGAUCGCCUCCUUGCAUUGUGUGAGGAUUAAACACGUGCGCGUGCACAUCCAGGCACACGCGCGCACACACUCGGGGCGCCCGGCCCCGCUCAGGCAGCCGCCCCACCUCCUCGCCUACCCGGAAUCAUUCAGCAACGUGGAGCAAAUUAAAUCAAUGAAUUCAUCCUAGCAGAUGGCCACUUUAACACUCAGUUAGCCCUUUAGAUAAUUGAGCGUUGACUCCGGAAUCAUAAAAUGGAUGGCUCGUUUGUACAUUUUACUGAAAUAGAUCACCGAGGUUAAAUAAAUGAAAUCCCAUUUGUCAGGCGGUAAUAAAUGGCCUCCCCUUCUGCAAACAGCUCUGUUUGGCCUAAUAAAUACAGGGACGUUACAGCGCUCCUCCCUUGAUAGGGUUACAGCUUAAUGAAAUGGCCUUCCCUCUGCUUGUUUUUGCCGCCUCCUGCACCGUGUGAUAAGUAGCAAACCAACGAAGCUUGUAAUUACAAUCUUACAGAAACCCGGCCAAUCUGUAUAUAAAUCUCACCCUCCAAUUACAAGAUGUAAUAAUUUUGCAGUCAAGCUGGUAAUGAGGUCUAAUACUCAUGCCUGUGAUAAUCCCCCCUGGAUGCUGACUCUAUCAGAUGUUAGCUUUGUAAUUAUACUGGCAGAAAAUCAUUAUUUCAUGUUCAGCAGAAAAAUGAGGUUGGUGGGAAGUUAAUUUUCUCUAUGCUCUGUGAAGCGUAGACAAAAUUUUAAUGAUUUAAUCAUUAUGGUUAUCCCUUUUGCAAUUGACCCACGUUACUUGUGUAGAAACAUUGGCACAUUUAAAAGUCCCUGUUACCCGAUAAAGCUUGCCAGGUAUGCAGCUUUUAAUGUAAGAAUAACUGUGUACAAUUAAACUAUUACCCUGCCGAUAGGGAAAAUUCAUUUUACUUUUAGUUUCCGUUAUUUACGUGUGUGAUUCAUGGAAAUGUUUAUGUCUUGCCCACACUAUAAUAAAUGGCUAAUUAAAAAAAUUGAAUUAUGCCGCCCUGAUUAUGUCAACCCUGCAAAAUAGCAUCACAGAAGAAUAUUCGGACCAGAUAAUUUUUGGAUAUGGGCCUGAGAAGCGACAGCUUCUGUGUCUCCUGUAAAGAAUAAGGACAAAAAAUGGAAGAGUUGCCAAUAUCCCAUUUGGGGAAUAUGACUUCUCAAAUAUGAGCCUUUAAUAUUUCUCAAUCUGGUCAAGGGGCUGUUUAUAAACAAUGCGCUUUUAGAUACAGUUGAUGCUUGAACAUCAUUUUUUCCUCGUACUUUUGGACUCUUCAGUGACGUAGAGGAAGACACAUGUCACACACAUGGCACGCUCAACAAUGUC
rnacentral:lncRNA from 1 species